rnacentral:rRNA from 1 species
AUGAUGAGAAUGGAGACCUGCCUUUUAACACAAGCUUACGGGCGCCGGAGGACAGGAAGGGAGAUGGCUCGGGUGAUGGCUCGUCUAAAGAAACUCAAAACUCUGCAGCCAGUAGGAAGGAUGGAGCCUUACCGAACAACAUGCCUAGAGGGGAUGAGGAGUAGCUGCUGGUCAGCCCUGCCAGGAGCCAUGAAAUGCCUGAGUUGGAACUACUGGGGGCUUGGGAACCCCGAGACGAAGAUCAGGGCUCAAAGAGUAGAGAUUAUGCAACAAUGUCUUGGUUUUGCGGGAUGCUUUGCGGUGGAUAGUGCUAGACUCAGCGGCAGAAUUGAUUUGUUCUGGUCAAGUGAUGUGAAGGUGAAGUUGAAAAACUAUAGUUCUGGAGACAUUGAUGUUACGGUCAAGAAAGAUGAUAUGUCUACUCCAGAAUGGAGAUUUACAGGCUUCUAUGGCGCGUCAAGGAAAGAAGAGAGGCACCAUAGUUGCCAAUGUUUGAGAAUGCUUCAUGCAAUACCGCAUCAGGCAUGGAUGUGUCUUGGAGAUUUCAAUGAGACACUAUUUGGCACUGAACACUUUAGCAGGGCUGCGAGGAUCUUGGGUUCUCAGGGGUACCGUACACAUGGGAUAAUAAGCAAGGGGGAGAUGAAUGUGAAAGCCCGCCUUGAUCGAGGGGUAGCAAACGAGGAGUUCCUACAAAGAUUUGACCCUAUACGUGUUCACCACAUCAGUGCGGUGGAAUUAGACCACUGCUUCGUGCUGGGACUUGCAGGAAUUCAAGAAAUUUUGCAUAAGCUCCAAAGCGACCUUGGAGCGUGUGGUGCCAAGGAGUUCAGGUGUCUUGGCAAAAAAGUGAAGAAACUACAAGCAAAACUGGAAAUCUUGAGGAGGCAAUCUGUUGGCAGGGGUCCGAAUGAUGAAGAAAAGGCCACGAUGAUAAAACUUUGUGAGGCCUUGAGGCAGGAGGAGGUAUGGAUGAGACAACGCUCUCGUGUGCCUUGGACCCGGAAAGGUGAUCGUAAUACGGCUUACUACCAUGCACAAGCGGCGCAACAAGAUAUGGUGGAGGUGCAGUCAUUCUAUCAGAAUUUGUACUCCUCGCAAGGAUAUAAUGAUAUGAAUGAGUUGCUGCAAUUUGACCCCAAGCGUGUGAUGGGUGAUAUGAACUUGGUGCUUGAUAGACCCUAUGAACCGGAGGAGGUCCGAACAGCUCUUUUUCAAAUAUCACCUUCGAAAGCUUUGGGAGUUGAUGGGUUUACUGCGGGCUUCUUUCAAAGACACUGGAAUAUCCUUCAAGGAGAUCUAGUGCCGGCUAUUUUGGGUUUUCUUAAUGGAGGCGGGCUACCAUUGGGGUUCAAUGACACAUCGAUCACACUCAUACCAAAGGUACGCAACCCUCAAAGUAUUGCUCAAUUCCGACCAAUCUCGUUAUGUUCGGUGCCCUACAAGAUCGGGGCCAAGAUGAUUACUAACCGCCUGAAAGAGUUUAUGGACACAGUGGUGUCGAUUAAUAGAGCUAAAAGUGCACUUUUCUUCUCGUCGAAUACUCUAGUGGGCAGAAGGAAAGAAGUGAAGUUGUUAUUAGGCAUCCAAGUGGACGCUUUUAGCGAUCAUUAUCUUGGAUUACCAACAGCGGUUGGGAGGAUUUCUAGUGGUACUUUUGAUCAUAUCUGUGAGCGAUCGUGGAGUAAAAUGAAUGGUUGGGCCAAGAGACAUCUAGCCUGCGCCGGAAGAGAAUCACUUAUACAGUCAGUUAUCCAAACAAUCCCAAUGUUCAGUAUGAGUUGCCUCCUUCUUACAAAAAAGGUAUGCAAAAGUUUGACUGCUAGCAUGGCAAAAUUCUGGUGGAGUGGUUCCCUUGACCGUCGAUCUCUGCAUUGGGUGGCCUGGGAUAAACUUGCAUCUCCGAAAGCUCGAGGGGGGGAGUUCAUGGAGGCCACGGAGCCGAAGACAUCAUCUGCCAUUUGGCGAGCGAUAGUAGCUGGCAGAAAGGAACUCGACGUUGGCCUGAUUAAAAGGGUGAGAGACGGGACUACUAUCUCCAUAUGGCAUGAUAGAUGGAUCACAGGUCUAGCCAGUAUAUCUCCCAUGGUGAUACCAGAUCUGAUCCGGGAUGUUUUUACUGCACCUGACGCUGAUGCUAUUCUUAAUAUACCAAUACGUUCGGGUGGGAGUGAUAAUUUUCUUGCUUGGGCCCAUGAAAGAAGCGGCAUCUACUCUCGUGAAUCAAAAAGAGUGUUCAGCUCUAGAAGAAGGGACGGUUACCGAAAUAGAGUUACUCUUGAUGAUGAUCAGCUUGACCCAUACACAUCGGCUAAGAGGAUUCAAGAGGACCUGACCUUGCUCGACAUUCCUCUCACAUGCUUCGGUGCUACCAGGUGGAGCGGGAGGUAUUGCACGUUCCAGUACUGCCUCGCUGGGAGCAAACCCCAUCUGGGGAUAUCGGAUCUGUUCAUUGGAGAGACCAUGGCGCUUCGAGAUGGAGUUAUAUUUGCGCCCUACACAAAUUCUCCCAUUUUUUUUGUCGAAGUCACGGGUUUAACCGGUGAUAAACCAGUUGGGCCGGCACGAGUACUCCCCCAUCCCCCCUCUAAAAAAUCCAUUCGUCUCCACCCCAAUCCCCGUCAAGUGUGGUCGGGCGGCCUACCACGUACACAUAGAGAGCAAGACGCGGAGCUACCGCGUGAGAAGAGCAAGCAAGCUCAACAAUCGCCGCAGGGCAGGGGCCGCCAUGAGCACUGGCUCCGACCUCAACGAGUCCGCGGCAACGACGACGGCAGCUACCUCCUUCGUGUCCUCAUCAUGCUCCCUGCAGCCGCAGACGCCCCCGCCAACCGCCGGGUGAAGAAUGGCCCGGAGGCAGAGGAGGUGUGGUGUAGUUCGCAGUGGGAGGCGGCGUGGCCACGGAGGGCGCGGCCGGUGGUGCUCGCCGGGGAAUACGGGACCCCGGACGGUGCCAGGGCAGGCGCCAGGGAUUCCAAGGGCGCAACUUGGGGCGUGCCAGGAGCCUGAUGGAUGACGACCUGGAGGAACUCAAGGGGUGCGUGGAUCUGGGGUUCGAUUUGCAGCAGCAGCAGACCCCCCGCCG